rnacentral:rRNA from 1 species
UCAAAAACAUGUCUUUUUGAAAAUAAUUUAAAGUHUAAUYUGCUCCAUGAAAAAAAUUAAAUAGCUGCAGAAUUUUAACUGUACAAAGGUAGCAUAAUCAAUAGUUUUUUAAUUAAAAGCUGGAAUGAAUGAUUUGAUAAAGUAAAUAUUGUCUCAAAUUUAAUAAAAUUAAAAUUUUUUUUUUAGUAAAAAAACUAAAUUAAAUUUAAAAGACGAGAAGACCCUAUAGAUUUUUAUAUUUUAUUUUAAUAAAAUUUAAAUUAAUAAAUAAUUUUUAAAUGAAAAAUAUUAGGUUGGGGAAAUUAUUAAAUUAAAUUAAUUUUAAUUAGUAAUUACCAAUAAUUAUUGAAUUUUUGAUCUUAAUUAAAAAUUUGGAGAAUAAACUACCUUAGGGAUAACAGCGUAAUUUUUUUGGAGAGAUCUAAUUGAUAAAAAAGUUUGCGACCUCGAUGUUGAAUUAAGAUUAAAUUUUAAUGAAGAAGUUAAAAAUUUUUGGUCUGUUCGACCAUUAAAAUCUUACGUGAUCUGAGUUCARACCGGA